rnacentral:rRNA from 1 species
UGUUUCGGAUUAUUGGGCGUAAAGGGUCCGUAGGCGCCUCGCCGCAUCUUCUGUUAAAUCUUCAGAGCUUAACUUUGAAGCUGCAGAAGAGAUGAGCGAGGUUGAGGACGUUAGAGGUUAGCGGAACGGUCGGUGUAGGAGUGAAAUCCGUUGAUAUCGACCGGAACACCAAAAGCGAAGGCAGCUAACUGGGACGAACCUGACGCUGAGGGACGAAAGCGUGGGGAGUAAAAAGGAUUAGAUACCCUUGUAAUCCACGCCCUAAACGAUGGAUACUAGCUAUUUGUAGUGUCGACCCUACGAGUGGCGAAGCUAACGCGUUAGUAUCCCGGCUGGGAAGUACAG